AUGAUCCUGACUGGUGGUGGUCCUUUGUCAGAUAAUGCGUCUGUGCUAGUGUGUCCUGCAGUGCUGGAGCCCAUCACCAUGAUGCUUGUGUUCCAUCAUCUGCGACGUGUAGCCUUUGCUACCUCCCAGGACCGGCAAUGGACGAUGCCAAGCUGGGAAAUCCCAGUAAACAUCGCGCCCUUGUCGCUCCAAGGCAAGCUAUAUUUGGUGCAAUUUCCUUGCGAUAAUGGCUCGCUGGUCUUCCAGAUGGAGGUUGGUUCGCCGCCGCUGCCGCCAAAGAUGAUUGCCACAUGCCCGGCAGAUAAGCUCUACGGCGGCUACCAUCUUGUAGAAUGCGACUCGCAGAUCCUGCUUGUCGGGUAUACGGACAGCUCCAUGACACACAUUUUGAUCUACAAACUCGAAGACCUCAUCUUGGAGAGGUUUGUCCCGGUAACAAGCAUCGGAGACCGAGCCCUCUUCCUUGAGGAUAGGAGCCUGAGUGCCUCCUCCAAGGCACUGCCAACCAUCAUCACUGAGACAGUUGUGUAUCCAUAUCCAGUGAACGGUCGUUUUGUGCAAUACCGUCUCGGUACCGGUGCUUGGUCUCAACCAUUUGAUGGAUAUAACGAUGGCAUUAACCCAGGUCCUUAUAGCCUCAUGCAACAUGUCAUUAGCUGCUGCAUUCGCAAUGCUUGAAACAAAGGGCUGGUAUAUUCUGAAAAGGAAACCAAAAAACCCGGAUGGCUUUGUUGGAAGGUGAAGAGAAAGCUUCGCAUUUGGGGGAGCCUUGGCGCAGUGGUUAAGCUGCUGCCUUGUGACCAAGAGGUCACAAGUACAGAUGAGAUGGUAGACUUGCAAGUACAGCGACCGUACAUUUUCAUCAGCACAAGGAUGGAUGGUCUACUUGGGAGAUCUGCUGCUGCGCUAGCUGGGCUUCGGCGCUCUGGUUUCCGGACAUGCCCAGAUGCUGCUGAAGCUGCUGUUGCUGCUGGUGGUGGUGCUGCUGGAGCUGUUGCUGUUGGUGGUGGUGGUGCUGCUGGAGCUGUUGCUGUUGGUGGUGGUGGUGCUGCUGGAGUUGUUGUUGCUGCUGGAGCGGCUGCUGCUGCAGCUGUUGCUGGUGGUGGUGUUGAAGCUGCAAUACCUGCUGUUGCUGGAGCUGCUUCUGUUGCUGCUGCUGCAGUAGCUGCUGCUGCAUCUGUUGUUGUUGUCUGGUGA
rnacentral:rRNA from 1 species